UACCCCAGAGACGGGGAUAACGGGUUAGAAACAUCCGCUAAUACCGGAUAGACUUGUCCGGUCAAAGGGACAAGGAAAGGCUCCGGCGCUCUGGGAGGAGCCUGCGGCCCAUCAGCUAGUUGGCGGNGUAACGGCCCACCAAGGCAAAGACGGGUAGGGGGUGUGAGAGCAUGGCCCCCCACAAUGGGACUGGAACACGGCCCAUACUCCUACGGGAGGCAGGAGCAGGGAAUAUUGCACAAUGGACGGAGGUCUGAUGCAGCGACGCCGCGUGGAUGAAGAAGGCCCUCGGGUUGUAAAAUCCUUUACAGGGGGAAGAGGAAGGACGGUACCCCUGGAACAAGUGUCGGCUAACUACGUGCCAGCAGCCGCGGUAAGACGUAGGACACAAGCGUUAUCCGGAUUUACUGGGCGUAAAGCGUCUGCAGGCGGACAGGUAAGUUGGGCGUGAAAGCUCCGGGCCCAACCCGGAGAGGUCGUUCAAUACUGCGUGUCUAGAGGGUGUCAGAGGGGAGUGGAAUUUCCGGAGUAGCGGUAAAAUGCGCAGAGAUCGGAAAGAACACCAAUGGCGAAGGCAGCUCCCUGGGGCAACCCUGACGCUAAGAGACGAAAGCUAGGGGAGCGAACAGGAUUAGAGACCCUGGUAGUCCUAGCCCUAAACGAUGGAUGCUGGAUGUGGGGCCAUAGCGCUCCGUGUCGAAGCGAACGCGUUAAGCAUCCCGGCUGGGGACUACGGGCGCGAGGUUUAAAGUCAGACGAAUUGACGGGAACCCGCACAAGCAGCGGAGCGUGUGGUUAAUUCGAUGCUA
rnacentral:rRNA from 1 species